GCCACUGUGGUGGAAUGGUAGACACGCAUGCCUUAGGAGCAUGUGGGCUUAGCCCGUGUCGGUUCGAGUCCGACCAGUGGUA
rnacentral:tRNA from 1 species